UAAACACUGUCGCUUUGGUGGAUAUAUAAAGCAAUGGCUGUGACAAAUGGCAGGGUGGCAGAAGUAUAAGAGGCUGGCACCAUGAGAUACACAACAGAAAUACCCACAGUGUAUGUACUCACUGAUUUGACAGCCAUCCAACGAGGCUUCAUUGAGAGAAUUAUCAAAAAGGUCUUUCAAUUUGAGCGCUCGGGGUCACAACUUGUGUAACCUUUUGUCCUGCUCCAUUUCCUGUUAUUUCUUGUGAGACCGACUUUUUGUGAUUAUGAGGUUUAUAAGGCAUUUGGAUACGCUUAGCCAUAGGUAGGACUCCUCUUUGUGUCUUCCUUAGGUAGAUCACUGACCUUACGUGACAGUUCAAGAAGAAAAAGUAGGUAAUACUUGUGAGAAAUCGAACAGUUGACAUUGGACAAUAGCAUGCACAGACAUAUUUCCCAGAAAGCUUUGCAUGUCAGAAAAUACCACAGUAGUACCAAAGAAAUGAGCAGAAAUUAUUAAAUUGAGUAGUUGAAACAAUAUGUGUUUCGUAGAAUGGGCAUUUAGAUGAAGUUUGACAUGAUCACAGACUACUGCAGAUAGUGCCCCGUCAAUAGAGACAGAGCAAGUCCAGCCCACACCCGGAGGGGAAAACAAUUCAUCGCUCUCCAAAGGCAAAUACCGUUUUUCAGAGACCGUUAUAACAUUGUCGCUACACUGAAGUAGCAAGCUAGAGCUAGACUAAUGCAGGUAUGUGGAUUUUAACCCGUCUAUGUUUUAACCAAAUCUUUGUUUUACCCACAGCGGUGUGUCGAAUCCUCAUAUUUUCAAAGGCGACGCAAGAGGACCACAGACUACAGCUAAGCUCACACAGAGCAGAGUCGGGGAUGACCUUUCAUAUGCAGCCUUGACACACAGUCCACAGGCAGCCAACUGACCAGCGAGGGUGACGAGAGAGCAAUGAAAUGCAGACCCCUAACCCACUGAUCCCUCCCACUCCCUGGGUGACCCAAUCGCUUCUAGCGCACUGCCCAACGAAGCUACGUUCAUUUUUUUAACAAUUCAAAACAGGUUUUUUUUUCCCCCUGCUUGAGUCAUAUUUGAAUAUCCAAUCUGAACCUGACAGCCAUUGUCACAUCAAA